GCAGGCGGACUCUCAACCACUGCGCCCCCAGGGAAGCCCCUCUAUCUCUCAUUUUGACUGAGAGAAAUAUUCUGGACAUUCCCCCCAAUGCUGAGAACUCCUGAACUACCUUCCCAUGUCUGCUAAGGUGUACGUCUUUGCCGCUUCCAUCCCGAGUCAUAGGCCAGCUUCUGCUUGUUAAAGAGGUUUCAUUGCAUCUGCAACCCAGGGUUAGGCCCUGACCUAAGAAUCAGUAGACAGGCUGAUUCUUUAGGUGUAAACCUGUUUAGGGCUAACCCAGUGGGAGCUGCCAUGCUUGCGGUUGGUAUCCUGCUGGCUGUAAUUCUUGGAGUAAGUGGUCCAAAGUAAGAUGAGUGACUGUGAGCCAUGAGGUUUUUCUUGUCUUCUCAGUUGUGCAGCGGACCUUCAUAAGCCUUUACGUAAGCAGGCUGGCACUGGCAUAUACAGUGCUUCUGUGUAAAUCAUGCAGAGACACUCCUUCCUCAAGACACUAUAUAUUCAGUUGCUGGGAAACUGUUAAUGAGAAAUGAGAGUAUUAGGUUUAGAUGGACACCAUCCCCCCAGAGGAAGCAGCUCUGUCUGCAGGCAGGUUUAAAACUCAAAACCAAGCAAGCGGUCUGCAUAUCCUUUGUGUAGGAGGCUUCUUGAAGGUCCUCUCUUCUCUCAAGGCUCUCCUUUAAAAAAGAAAGAAAUCUGCAAGUUCUCCAAGUGAUGCUUGGGAUCGCCAUUCAAAUAGUCCCAGGUGUGGUUUCCCCAGGAAUGGCUGUGUCCUGGUUCAGAGCAAGGAGCCACACUGCCUGGGCUUGAAUCCUGGCGGCUCCCCCCAGCUGUGGCACUUUAGGCAAGUUACUUAAUGCCUCAGGAUUUUUAUCUGUAAAAUGAAGUUAAGGAACAAAUGCAAAUGUACUUAAAACAAUUAGCAGAGGGCCUGGCACACAGUAAAAGCUCAAGAAUGCCCAAUGGGACCGGCCCGAGUGGGAUGUAGCCUUCACAGCAUGGCGGGGAGACAGGACUUAUACAUGCUUUACCUGCUCCCGGGAAGUGAGGACUCUGCCCCUGAUUUACUCAUCCCUCAUAUCGAGUAAUAAGUACUUGGCCCUCUGGGAUUGAACUUCAAGCCUUGGUCACUAUGGGGGCAGUAAGAGACUGGUGUUCAAUAGAAAAUAACUGGAUAGGAAUUCGCAUUUGACCUCGGCCCAAGGUCACAUGGCUGGCAAGAUGGCCAAAUAUGGGUCUUCUCUGAGGUUGUUUCAGGUGUAAAGUGGGUGUGCGCCCUGCUGAGGGUUAAGUGAAGCCCUGUGCAGGAAAGCUCUGAGGACCCCCAGGCUGUGGUGGCCCAGCUGCCAGCAGUAACCAUGACCCUGGCUGCUGUGAGGGGGUCUGCCGGUCAUGCUGCCCAGGGCUGGCCGUGGCUGCAGUGACACUUUCUCCUGCAGGUGAACGUGGGCUUCUGCGUCUUAGGCAUUAUUGUGAUGGCUACCACCAAUUCUCUGAUGUGGACGUUCUUUAGCCGGGGCCUCAGUUUCUCCAUGUCUUCAGCCAUUGCAUCUGUCACAGUGACUUUUUCAAAUACCCUCAGCUCGGCCUUCCUGGGUUUUGUGUUGUAUGGAGAGUGCCAGGAGGUCUUGUGGUGGGGAGGAGUCUUCCUCAUCCUCUGCGGACUCACCCUGAUCCACAGGGAGCUCCCACCACCCAGGAAGGCUCUUCCACACAAGCAGCAGUAGCAUCAGCGGGCUGGGCGGACCCGCUGGAAAGACAGCGAUGGCGGCUCAGGCUCGGGUUGGCGUGUGGGGACUGCUUCUCAGGGCGAUCUGGGUGCGCAGCCUUCUGACCCUCGGCCAAAGAGAGAUGCUUCCCAGGGAACCAGGCCUGUGACCGAGCAGCCUUGCGGGUGGACAGCUCCGGCUUCUGUCAGGGGAAGUACACCGCAGCAGUGUUCUGCCCGAAGCCUUCUCGGUCCGUCUGCUCGGUGCUGUUGAUUCUCAUGCUCCACAACCCACCCAGUGAGCCAUGGCAGGUGUGGGAGACCCUGGGGUUGGUGGGCUUCCUGUAUGGACUUGAAACCAUGCUGUAACUGCAGUCCUGUUGCCUAACAAAGGCCAGUCAUGGAAUUUUGGAAUCAGUGACUGGUGGGGCUUUCGACAACUUCACACCGAUAUAUCAGGCCGUCAGCGUCAUGCUUCUGGAUUAUGGCAAGAGAAGGAAAAUUAGAUUAAUAAAUACUUUUUUUGUAAGUUAAAACUGC